UGGCACUAUACCUCCAAAGGGCAGGGUGUACCCCUUAUCGGUUCAAGAAAACCGUGUCAUGGAGGAGUACAUCAAGGAAUCAUUAGAAAAAGGGUUUAUUAGGAGAUCCUCUUCUCCAGCUGGAGCAGGGUUCUUCUUUGUAUCGAAGAAAGAAGGUGAUUUAAGACCGUGUAUAGAUUAUAGAGGUCUAAACAAAAUCACUAUCAAAAAUGCAUACCCU